AUGAGGUGUCUUACGUCUGUUUCUUUUUCAAGAUUGCUCAAUGGUGGUAAGCUAGAUGAUUUCAGGCCUACACGGGGUCUCGGGCAGGAGGAUCCUAUAUCAUCAUAUCUGUUUCUAUUGGCGGCAGAAGGAUUAUCUUGUUUGUUGAAAGCAAAUGAAGCAAGUAAUUUGAUCAGGGAACUGAAAGUUGCAGCACAAGCACCCCAGGUGAAUCAUCUAUUGUUUGCUGACGACAGCUUAUUAUUUUUUGGUGCUACAAGGGAGGAGGCCGAACAGAUAAAGAAGUUAUUAGAGGUAUAUUGGGAGGCUUAUGGUCAGAAAAUUAAUAAUGACAAGUCUUCCAUCUUUUUUAGCAAGGGGGUUCCAAUAGAGACUAGGGAAGCUAUUAAAUUAAUGUUGCAAGUCCCUAACGAGACUUGGUCAGAAAAGUAUUUGGGCUUGCCUACGGAAGUUGGGUGCUCAAAAAAGGGAACCUUCCAGUUCUUAAAAGAUAGAUUAUGGGCUCGAAUGCAAGGAUGGAUCGAGAAGUGUUUGUCUACUUCAGGGAAAGAGGCCCUCGUGAAGUCUGUUGCACAAGCAAUCCCGACAUUCUUGAUGUCAUAUUUUAAACUUCUUCGCAGGCCUAUGUGA
rnacentral:rRNA from 1 species